UCCAGAUUUCUUGCUGCUGUAGUUACAGACCAAAAGGACAGUGAAGAGAAAGGUAUGGCAUUGCCAUAUUCAACAGCAUGAUCUUUAAAAUGUUUGAGUAUGAAAUAUUCUCAUAAUUUUUAUAAAUAGAUAUUUUUUCCAUCAACCAAACUAGACAGUUAAAUGAGUAAAUUUGACCUGUGGCUUUCUAUGAAUUUCCCUGCCGCUUCUGUGUGUCAAGCUGAGGGUAGUUUCAGACUUACAUGAGUUCCUAAGUCCCAUAACUUUCUUCCUCUGAAGUGUGUUGGCUCAAGAAAGCCUCUUGUCCUUCUACAUGUUUGCUCACAGGGACUGAAGGAUUGUUUUUGUGUCCAUCUUAAACAUAUUUACCUGAUGUUUUUCCAAGUCCUUGACUCUCUUCAUGUUUAUCCAGCACGAAUCUUUGGAUAUAUUGCUGAGAACAGGUCAUUCCAAGGAUGACAUCGUAAAGCGCCGUUUACUUCACCAACAUCAGACAACUGUCAGCUCCAAGGACUCACUGACGGCUUUUAGCACGCCAGGACGCAGUCGACAGCUGCGCAGAGACCGGUGCAGGCGCGAACUUCAUCUGCUGCUAUCUUUAUCACCUAAGCGGUGGCGUCUCCCAUUGAGCCCUCCAAUGACAGCCUGUUCAGGCUGAGGCUGCCUGCUAAGGCAAAACAUCCAGCGUCAUCAAGCUCCAGAACUACUGAAGUGGCCCAGUCGGUGGUUGUGUUCCUGGCAGUGCCAACCAAUCUGAUUUUAUGAUUUCUCCCAAUA
rnacentral:lncRNA from 1 species